AUUGAACGCUGGCGGCAGGCCUAACACAUGCAAGUCGAGCGGUAGAGAGAAGCUUGCUUCUCUUGAGAGCGGCGGACGGGUGAGUAAUGCCUAGGAAUCUGCCUGGUAGUGGGGGAUAACGUUCGGAAACGGACGCUAAUACCGCAUACGUCCUACGGGAGAAAGCAGGGGACCUUCGGUCCUUGCGCUAUCAGAUGAGCCUAGGUCGGAUUAGCUAGUUGGUGGGGUAAUGGCUCACCAAGGCGACGAUCCGUAACUGGUCUGAGAGGAUGAUCAGUCACACUGGAACUGAGACACGGUCCAGACUCCUACGGGAGGCAGCAGUAGGGAAUAUUGGACAAUGGGCGAAAGCCUGAUCCAGCAAUGCCGCGUGUGUGAAGAAGGUCUUCGGAUUGUAAAGCACUUUAAGUUGGGAGGAAGAGCAGUAAAUUAAUACUUUGCUGUUUUGACGUUACCGACAGAAUAAGCACCGGCUAACUCUGUG
rnacentral:rRNA from 1 species